UGCCAGACUCCUACGGGAGGCAGCAGUGGGGAAUAUUGCACAAUGGGGGAAACCCUGAUGCAGCGACGCCGCGUGAGCGAUGAAGUAUUUCGGUAUGUAAAGCUCUAUCAGCAGGGAAGAAAAUGACGGUACCUGACUAAGAAGCCCCGGCUAACUACGUGCCAGCAGCCGCGGUAAUACGUAGGGGGCAAGCGUUAUCCGGAUUUACUGGGUGUAAAGGGAGCGUAGACGGCUGUGCAAGCCAGAUGUGAAAGCCCGGGGCUCAACCCCGGGACUGCAUUUGGAACUGUGUGGCUGGAGUGUCGGAGAGGCAGGCGGAAUUCCUAGUGUAGCGGUGAAAUGCGUAGAUAUUAGGAGGAACACCAGUGGCGAAGGCGGCCUGCUGGACGAUGACUGACGUUGAGGCUCGAAAGCGUGGGGAGCAAACAGGAUUAGAUACCCUUGUAGG
rnacentral:rRNA from 1 species